rnacentral:rRNA from 1 species
GACGGGGGGUGCGAGCGUUACUCGGAAUUACUGGGCGUAAAGCGCAUGUAGGCGGCCGAACAAGUCAGGUGUGAAAGCCUCGGGCUUAACCUGGGAAGUUCACUUGAUACUGUCCGGCUAGAGUUUGGCAGAGGAAAGUAGAAUUCCCGGUGUAGCGGUGAAAUGCGUAGAUAUCGGGAGGAAUACCAGUGGCGAAGGCGUCUUUCUGGGACAAUACUGACGUUGAGGUGCGAAAGCGUGGGGAUCAAACAGG